AGCAGCCGCGGUAAUUCCAGCUCCAAUAGCGUAUAUUAAAGUUGUUGCAGUUAAAAAGCUCGUAGUUGAAUUUCGGGAUUAGUGCGCCGGUCGUGCCUUCGGCAUGUACUGGUGUUACUGGUUCCUACCUUCUGACGAACCGUCAUGUCAUUAAUUUGGUGUGGCGGGGAAUCAGGACUGUUACUUUGAAAAAAUUAGAGUGUUUAAAGCAGGCUCGCGCUUGAAUACAUUAGCAUGGAAUAAUGAAAUAGGACGUUCGAUCCUAUUUUGUUGGUUUCUAGGAUUGACGUAAUGAUUAAUAGGGAUAGUUGAGGGCAUUAGUAUUCAAUUGUCAGAGGUGAAAUUCUUGGAUUUAUUGAAGACUAACUACUGCGAAAGCAUUUGCCAAGGAUGUUUCAUUAAUCAAGAACGAAAGUUAGGGGAUCGAAGACGAUCAGAUACCGUCGUAGUCUUAACCAUAAACUAUGCCGACUAGGGAUCGGAUGAUGUUAUUUUUAAUGACUCAUUCGGCGUCCG
rnacentral:rRNA from 1 species